UACGUAGGUCCCGAGCGUUAUCCGGAUUUACUGGGUGUAAAGGGAGCGUAGACGGCAAUACAAGUCGGAAGUGAAAUACCCGGGCUUAACCUGGGAACUGCUUUGGAAACUGUAUGGCUGGAGUGCUGGAGAGGUAAGCGGAAUUCCUAGUGUAGCGGUGAAAUGCGUAGAUAUUAGGAGGAACACCAGUGGUGAAGGCGGCUUACUGGACAGUAACUGACGUUGAGGCUCGAAAGCGUGGGGAGCAAACAGG
rnacentral:rRNA from 1 species